rnacentral:rRNA from 1 species
GGGUCAGUAGGUUGGUCGUGCCACCGGUACGUACUGGUCUCACUGAUUCCUCCUUCCUGAAGAACCGUAAUGCCAUUAAUUUGGUGUUGCGGGGAAACAGGACUGCUACUUUGAAAAAUUAGAGUGUUUAAGGCAAGCUAACGCUUGAAUACAUUAGCAUGGAAUAAUGAAAUAGGACGAUCGAUCCUAUUUUGUUGGUUUCUAGGAUUGACGUA